GGGGCUGACAUGGAUUUGACAGCAAGGAUGAUGGGGAAGUAAGCAUGUCGGGCAAGGGAACAUAUCCCGUAAAACUGGGUUUCACAAUUAUAACUGGCGAAAAUAAUUUUGCUCUUGCAGCUUAAUCGAAGUAUAGUAGAUAAGCUUUAUCCUGAGGUUAGACUUCGGGACAAGACAUCUCUCCAAGGAAAGUUUCACGCCGAUUGGAUUAAGGGGUGCUCGUAAAGAAGAAACUGGUUCCUGUUUCGUUUCGUGGCAGGAAUAAGACUAAAGAAACUAAGGUUAUGUUAGGUUGUUUGUAGCCGGGCACAACUCGAAAAUUAAUCGCAAACUAAGCAUGUAGAAAGCUUUUUUGUCACUUGUUUGGACCGGGGUUCGACUCCCCGCAGCUCCACUG
rnacentral:tmRNA from 1 species